rnacentral:lncRNA from 1 species
GCUUAGCUAACAGGCAGGAGUGGACAAAGUCUGUGCAACCAGAGCCCCGACAAAGCCUUCGCACAGAGCCAGUGAGCCAGGACUCCUCUGGCGUCACCACUGAGGCUGUAGGGAGCCUACACUGGCUUUGCCGCCUCUGCUGGCACCGGGCCAGGACACAGGACGCUGGACAUCAGACGCCACGCUGGCACCUCUGCCCCAGCAGCUCCUGGAAACUGAACGUUGCUGCUGCAGCCAGAAGGAGUUCUGUUCUCACCCAGCUUCUCAGCAUCACGAGCAAGUGACACACAAUCUUGGGUCAUCACAUCCGAGUGCCCCAGCCUAGGGGCUGGGGAUGAGAGUAUCUGGUGUUUGCACCUUUCAUAGAGAGAUGAGCCUUGUCUGCCACCAGGAUUUGCAAGCCUAAAGGAACGUGUCGUGUUGCUCGCUGAAAUCUUCUGGCUGGCCCGGCAAGUGGCGCCCAGCGUGGGGCUCGACGAAAGUUCCUUGCGGCCGCUGCCUGUUGAAACUACUAAGGUAAGUAAGAGUGUAUAUACUUGUAUAUUGAGGGGCAGGAAGGAAUAUUGUCGAGAGUAUAAACCAUGGGACAAGAUCAUAGCCGUCAGUUGUGCAUAUGUUACAGAUAAUGUUAAAGGAUCAGGGAAUA